rnacentral:rRNA from 1 species
UACGGAGGGUGCGAGCGUUGUCCGGAAUCACUGGGCGUAAAGGGCGCGUAGGUGGCGCGGGAAGUCAACGGUGAAAGUUCGGGGCUCAACCCUGAAUCGGCCGUCGAUACUCCCGGGCUCGAGCACUGUAGAGGCAGAUGGAAUUCCGGGUGUAGCGGUGGAAUGCGUAGAGAUCCGGAAGAACACCGGUGGCGAAGGCGGUCUGCUGGGCAGUUGGCUGACACUGGAGGCGCGACAGCGUGGGGAGCAAACAGGAUUGAGAA